CCUACGGGGGGCAGCAGUAGGGAAUAUUGCUCAAUGGGGGAAACCCUGAAGCAGCAACGCCGCGUGGAGGAUGAAGGUUUUAGGAUUGUAAACCUCUUUUGUCGGGGAGCAAGGCCCGCCACGUGUGGCGGGAAGGAGAGUACCCGAAGAAAAAGCAUCGGCUAACUCCGUGCCAGCAGCCGCGGUAAUACGGAGGAUGCGAGCGUUAUCCGGAUUUAUUGGGUUUAAAGGGUGCGUAGGCGGAAGGUUAAGUCAGCGGUAAAAUGUCGGUGCUCAACACCGGCCUGCCGUUGAAACUGGUCUUCUUGAGUGAGCGAGAAGUAUGCGGAAUGCGUGGUGUAGCGGUGAAAUGCAUAGAUAUCACGCAGAACUCCGAUUGUGAAGGCAGCAUACCGGCGCUCAACUGACGCUGAGGCACGAAAGCGUGGGGAUCGAACAGGAUUAGAUACCCGGGUAGUC
rnacentral:rRNA from 1 species